rnacentral:lncRNA from 1 species
UUUGUGUGUUUCUUAAAUGGUUUAAAAACACCUUCCACGCUGCAAUUGUUUUGGUUCCAGCACACGAUCUCAGAUCAAAUCACUUGCUAUGCAAGUACAUCUCCGUAAUAUUUUAUUAUUAUAAAUGAAUAUCUAUUCUACUUUAUCUAUUCUAAUUUAUUUGUAAAGUUUAUUCCGAUGUUUCACACUUGAAGUUGUCAAACUUUACACAUUGUUGUAUUUGCUAUUGCUGUUGCUGCUUUUGACGCCGUUGCUGUUACUAUUAUUGAGACUGUUGUUGCUGCUGUCGUUAUUCUGUCAGCUUCGAACGCGAAACCAUUUUUAUAUUGUGAAUUAUUUUAUUCACUACACAGAUAUAUUGUAUAUCAUAUGACUCCAUUUUCCAUCUUAAGCUGAAUUUCUCACUCAUGUAUCAGCUUUAAAAAUAAAAUAUCAUUAUUGUUAAGAUGUACCGAACGGGAGGUGAAUUGAAAAAAAAAACUGAAAAAGCAUAUGGCAAACUAUUCAGUACAUGGCCUUGUGGAACUCAGAACCUGUGAUAGCAGUUAGGCCAGGUGAAGAUUUAUAUAGAAUAUUUUAAGUUAUCUGCAUUGUUCAUAUAAACCCAUUCUGUGAGAAAGAUGAUGAACCCUUGGUUCAAACGUGAAAGUAUUAAAUUAUUUACAAUUGACGGAUAUUUGUCCUCAUCUUGUUUAUUGUUAACACAACGUUUCGGCUGAUAUACCCUCCAGCCUUCGUCAGGUGUCUUGAGGAAAUUUCGAACACGGGUUCUCAUUCCUAUGGUAUUUUUCGAUGUUGUUGUAUUCUCCUUGACUGAGAGAUCUUAAUUCCUAUAUCUAUAUGAGAAGCUGUUACUGAUUACUUUUGAUUAGAGAAAUUUGUUGAUAUGUUUCAAUUGAAUUUCGCUCAAGGUUAGAACUAUUAUAGCAGGUAUCACACUCUAUGUCUUUUUAAAAAGUUAAUGAUACAGCAGAUAAUCUAAUCCUAAAUACGUUUAUAUAAUGAAAUGCCGAUUUGACGGUCUCGACUAAAACAAUUUUCAGAAUAGACCAGUUGACUCAGAUUGGACCUAGGGUUAAACAUCAAUAACAACAUGAACUGGGAUUCUGUGCGUAUUAUAAAUUAAGUGGCAUACUGGUUUGAUUAAAUUUCUACUAUAAAUAUUAUUCUGCAAUACGAGUUUGUUUACAUGGUUUUGUAAUUCUAUAACCCGUCCAAUUUGCUUAAAACAAUUUGCUUAAAACAGGUUGUGCAGUGAUGCAUAUACUAUUUCAAGGUUGAUGCACUUUUCUUCGGUAUAUCACAACAGCAUUUAAUGGAAAUAAAAUCUAGAUGAAGAUAAAAUGAAGAUAAAACGCACGCAGUAUUGUAAAAUGAGCUUUUACUCACGGAAAAUUAUUGGUGAUGGAGAGUGUAGGCAACACCUCACCUAGGUGUUGCCUAGGGAAGGUAUUGCAACAAAUGAUAUGAAGGUUUCUUUGAGGGUUCGAGAACGGUCUGUACAUACUUAUUCUAAGGUUAGUGGUAUAUAAACCGUGGUAACAUUAGUAAACAGGUGGACAAUAAAUACAAAACAUCGGGCUACAAGAGACUACAAUGUUGGAAUGCCUUCCACAGUAUUAGAGCUACGGUGGAAGGUAUUCUGUCCGCGACCAUCCCGUCAUGGAUUCGCGACAUAGUUAAUGACAAGAAUGAAGGAUGUGUUUCCGUGUGUUGUAUAACGGUUGACUGAAAUUGGGAUGAAUUUAUUUUGUAGCCUGGGAAGGCGAUUGUAUGAGGGUAAGGAUAGGCGUUUCUAAAAUUUUUAGACAAUACAUUUUGUGAAUAGGUUUGGUCAGGGAAACUGAAAGCCCACUAGAUGUAUGUGUGUGUGUGUAUGUGUGUGUAUGUGUGUGUGUGUGUGUGUUUAUGUGCGUGCGUGUGUAAUAUACAUUUUUGUGUUGUAUUUAUCCCCAACCGCUUGAUAACUGCGGUUCGCCCGUUUACUUCCUCGUGACCUAGCGAGUCAGCUUAAGCAACUGAUAAAAUAAUUUGAAGUCUUAAAUGAAUAAGUACUGGGUGGAAUUUGUUUGACAAAUCCCUUUCAAAGCGGUACCCUAGCAUCUCUGCAGUCUAAUAGUUAAGAAAAUUGAAAGAUAACAACAAAAAAUGUAAAAAGGCUAAAUCUAAAAGACAAAAGGCACCACUCGAUAAGUGGUAAAGAGUUAAUAAGGAAACCUACUACAUACCAGGACCUGAUAAAGCUGAACAGUUUGGAAAUAAAUUUUUUAAAAUGGCAACAUUGGAUCAAGGGCGAGAGAAUGAUAUUUGAUUACAGCUCUGUAUCAACGCUUCGGCACAAGAAAGUAACUACUGCAAGUAAAGAAGUAAAAUAUAUUAAGUAGCAGCAACACGAGGUAGUAUCAAAACGUUCCGGGACUAGUUAUGUUUAAAAAAAAAUAUUUUAUAAACUUCUGUUUCAACAUCAUCGCAUUCUAAAUAGCCACCUUGCGCAGCAACACAUAAGUCCCAGCGUUCCAUCAACUUUUGGAAUCCGGCCUGGAAUUCGUUUUACGAAAGCGAGUCGAUGGUCUUCUGCGAUUCGCUCUGCACAUCGACAACGGAAUUAAAACGGUGACCUCUAAGCUGCUUUUUUAUUAUCUUGGGGAGGAGAUGAGAGUUCAUGGGUGCUAAAUCGGUCAAAUAGGGAGGGUGCAAAAAUGAUAUCAUAUUGUUUUUGGCGAGAAACUCAAGAGUGAGGAAAACUCGCUUCCAGGGUGCAUUGUCGGCAUGAAAAAUCCAAUUCCUCGCACUCCAAAGAUCUGUUUGUUUUCGCCGAAUUUACCCCACUCAAACGCUUCAAAAUAUCGCAGUAGAUCUCUCAAUUGACGGUCUAGCCCUAGGGGACAAAUUCUCGAUGCACAAUACGGUUAAUUUCGGAAAAAAAACAAUGAGUACGCUCUUUAUUGAGCUGCGGCUCUGUCGUGCCUUCUUCGGUCGCGGAGUGCAUUCUUCGGUUAGGAGUACUGCUUCAUACGCGUAGACCCAACUUUUGUCAACUGUGAAGAUCCUCGACAUUAAGGAUGAGUCAUCAGCGGUACGCUGACGGAGCUCUUGGCAAUCUUCGACCCGAAGUUCUUUUUGCUCAGUAGUCAGCAGGUAGGGUCAAAAUGGGUAGAGACACGCCGCAUGUUCCAUUCAGGCGUUAGGAUUGCCUGCACGAACCUAUACGACAGACCAACAACAUCAGCAAUGUCGUUGAUGAUCCUCAUGCACAAGCUAAUGAAUUUUCUCCACGUCCCGAGGUGACGGUCGCGGAAGGUUUUCCAGCGACGUUCUUCUGCCCUUGAAGUGCCCAUGACACUCCAAACAUGCAUACAACCCAUGGCCUAGUCGCUGUAAGUUUGCAGAAGCAUGUUCAAUAUAUUUGUAGCAGACGUCCGAAGCUUAAUGCAAAAUUUCCUUUUGGUUCUUUCUUCUAACUUCCUGUCGAUGACAAAAUCGCAGAGUUCAGCAUAAACGUGAUCACAAAAACGCAACUUUCGCAACUUCUAAAGUAAACACAGCAAUGUUACGCGGCACACUGCAUCAUAAAUGUCACUGCUAGCUCUCACUGCGCAAGCAACCGUGUUCUGCCAUCUGUUGGCUCGUUAUAGAACUAGUCCGAGAACGUUUUGAUAGAUUGAAUGUAAGAAACAGUAAGUACCAGUUACGCACUGGGGGUUCAUGUAAUCGACUUAAUCCCUUUGUCUGUCCUUGUUUGUUCCCUCUAUGUUUAGCCCCUUGUGGGCAAUAAAGAAAUAAGGAACAGUUGAUAAUUGUAUCUCAGCUAGCUCAUGCUAAGAAAUAAUGCAUCGACUGGCAAAGUGUGAGACUUCCAUAUAUGGACAUUCAUGCCAGCAUUAAGUAAUAACAACGAGAUAUAUGCUUUAUAGUUUUAUACGAGAAUCGGAUCACGUACAACAACAAAUCGACAAUACUUCGGGAUAUGUCAAUCGGUGUAAGAAAUCGUGCCAAGGAUCUUCAGUCAUACAUCGUUAUCAAGAGCCAUAACGAAAGAUAGAUCGUCAUAACUGAAGUAUCAGUCUUAACUAACAAUAACGGAUUUCUAAUACAGAUGGUAAAAUAUAAAAAUCACGAAAUAGAGAUAAUAAAAGGGUGGGAGUAAAAAUCAAGCAAUUCCCCACUAAUUAUUCUUCAAGAAGUUAGUAUAUAAAAAUAGAUAUAUGACGAGACAACAAGCGAAAUUAAUCCCAUACAAACGAAAUUAAUCCCAUACAAACGAAAUUAAUCCCAUACUGAGACAGUAGUCUCAGUCUAUAACUACAGAUAGAAAUAUCUAGGUGAGGAUGAAAGUGAUAAAAUAAAAGACAAGGAAAUGAAAGGGGAAAUUGUGAAAACGUAUAACAGAAGGGUGGUAUUAAUAUAAAAUAGUUAGUUCAUAGAUAACAAUACGAUAAUAAAUAACUGAU